AGCUUCAUGCUAAUUUCCCUGCAACUGAUCUGGUACAGUUCAACUGUAUGCAAAUUUCGGUAUCUGUACAGCUAAGGAUAUAUGUACAUGUAUCAUUGAUGCUAACUUGUAAUAAAUUGCAUAAAGUCUGAAAGGGAGAAUGGGAGAAAGGCAAGGUUCUUCAUGUUCAUUGUGUGUCUCAUUCACUGCAAAUAUCUCGAUUACAAAUGUAUUGUGUAAUCAGUUGCUCUGUGCCUUCCAGUGGUGCAAGAAAAAAAUCAGCAUGGCAAUCAAAUUCAAGUGUACAUAUUUUUUUCAUUCUCAAAUGGCUGUUCUUUUGCUGCAUAAGUGUGGUCUGAGUGUUCAUCUAACAAGAGUUCUCC
rnacentral:lncRNA from 1 species